rnacentral:rRNA from 1 species
GACGAACGCUGGCGGCGUGCUUAACACAUGCAAGUCGAGCGAUGAAGUUCCUUCGGGAAUGGAUUAGCGGCGGACGGGUGAGUAACACGUGGGUAACCUGCCUCAUAGAGGGGAAUAGCCUUCCGAAAGGAAGAUUAAUACCGCAUAAGAUUGUAGUAUCGCAUGAUAUAGCAAUUAAAGGAGUAAUCCGCUAUGAGAUGGACCCGCGUCGCAUUAGCUAGUUGGUGAGGUAACGGCCCACCAAGGCGACGAUGCGUAGCCGACCUGAGAGGGUGAUCGGCCACAUUGGGACUGAGACACGGCCCAGACUCCUACGGGAGGCAGCAGUGGGGAAUAUUGCACAAUGGGGGAAACCCUGAUGCAGCAACGCCGCGUGAGUGAUGACGGUCUUCGGAUUGUAAAGCUCUGUCUUCAGGGAUGAUAAUGACGGUACCUGAGGAGGAAGCCACGGCUAACUACGUGCCAGCAGCCGCCGCGG